UUUGUUCCAGAAGCCACGAAAUUGAGGUACGCAGAAGAUGAACAAACCUGAGAACUGAUGAUCCAAAGAAGAGUCGGAGCUCGAGCAUCACAUAGUCGUCAGCUAUGGUGGCUUGUAGGCGGAUGUGUCUCACACCUAAGUUUUUGCCGCUGGACCGUGGUUACGUUCAUCCUAGCUUGGAGGCAACGGUGUGGGUGGGUAUGCAUGUGCAGGGCGAAGAAGUGGACGAAGGCCGAAGAAGCAAUCUCUGCCUCCCUAUCGCUGCGUCCUGCUCCUCAAUAUGUCACCUUAGUCAUGGCCGCCUUAUCCCUCAUGCUGCUGAUUUGAAUCUGCCCUACUCUUCUUCUCCUAGACUGCUCGAGCGCUUCAGCGGGUGCCUUGCCGACGACAGGGAAGGAAGGACCAGAGUAAGUAUAAUAUGGAAGUUCCUGUUCAAAUUAGUAGAAUAUGCUUACCAGGUGUUAGAAUUUAUAGAUAUAUACCACAAUUUUCACUACAGAUUAAAUAUAAUAUGAAAGUUCUUGUCAGUUUUCUUUGUAGUUAGUUUGCGACAAUCACAACAUGAUCAUUUGAAUAUUUUGUUGUAACAAAUCUAUUAUAGCUAUUGUUGUGAAAGAAAAAUCCUUAAAAAAUCACCCAAUAGCAACCCGAGGAAGUUAAGAGACAUAAAUGAUCCAGAUAUGGUUCCAUUAUGCUCCCUCUGUUUGAUAAUAUAUGACGUUUUCUGGCAGUACACAAUGCCAAAAACGUCUUAUAUUAUGGGACAGAAGCGAGUUUGUGAUUCUUUUGGUUAUUCUUGAUUCCACAUGCUUCAUUUGGGUGAAUAAUCCAUUGGCAUCCAAAUUUGGAGAUUAAUUCACCUAUUUAAUGUGCAUAGUCAAUGACACAUUUUUGCUAUGAUGAAUAUGUAAAUAAAUUUUGUACAAUUCCAUAAAUACACAGUUAAGCGUUUUUGUUGUAAAGAUAAUGUAGAUAAUUUUUAUAGCUUUGCAAAUAAGAUUAACCUUGGUGUAUAAAUCCGAUCAGAGUAGAGGUAGCUAUGCAAUGGUCUUGCGUCACAUCAUUAGUCUAAGGCUCUAACCACAUUCAUGGAGAAUCUAACAUCCCAACUACGCAUAUCUGUUUGUUCCGGAAGCCAAGAAAUUGAGGGACGCAGAAGAUGAACAAACCUGAGAAUUGAUGAUCGAAUGAAGAGUCGGAGCUCGAGCAUCACAUAGCCGUCAGCUAUGGUGGCUUGUGGGCGGAUGUUUCUCAGACCUAAGUUGUUGCCGCUGGACCGUGGUUACAUUCAUCCUAGCUUGGAGGAAACGGUGCGGGAAGAUAUGCAUGUGCAGGGCGAAGAAGUGGACGAAGGCCGAAGUAGCAAUCUCUGCCUCCCUAUCGCUGCGUCCUUCUCCUCAAUAUGUCACCUUAGUCAUGGCCGCCUUAUCCCUCAUGCUGCUGAUUUGAAUCUGCCCUACUCUUCUUCUCCUAGACUGCUCGAGCGCUUCAGCGGGUGCCUUCCCAACGACAGGGAAGGAAGGACCAGAGUAAGUAUAAUAUGGAAGUUCCUGUUCAAAUUAGUAGAAUAUGCUUACCAGGUGUUAGAAUUUAUAGAUAUAUACCACAAUUUUCACUACAGAUUAAAUAUAAUAUGAAAGUUCUUGUCAGUUUUCUUUGUAGUUAGUUUGCGACAAUCACAACAUGAUCAUUUGAAUAUUUUGUUGUAACAAAUCUAUUAUAGCUAUUGUUGUGAAAGAAAAAUCCUUAAAAAAUCACCCAAUAGCAACCCGAGGAAGUUAAGAGACAUAAAUGAUCCAGAUAUGGUUCCAUUAUGCUCCCUCUGUUCGAUAAUAUAUGACGUUUUCUGGCAGUACACAAUGCCAAAAACGUCUUAUAUUAUGGGACAGAAGCGAGUUUGUGAUUUUUUUGGUUAUUCUAGAUUCCACAUGCUUCAUUUGGGUGAAUAAUCCAUUGGCAUCCAAAUUUGGAGAUUAAUUCACCUAUGUAAUGUGCAUAAUCAAUGACACAUUUUUGCUAUGAUGAAUAUGUAAAUAAAUUUUGUACAAUUCCAUAAAUACACAGUUAAGCAUUUUUGUUGUAAAGAUAAUGUAGAUAAUUUUUUAUAGCUUUGCAAAUAAGAUUAACCUUGGUGUAUAAAUCCGAUCAGAGUAGAGGUAGCUAUGCAAUGGUCUUGCAUCACAUCAUUAGUCUAAGGCUCUAACCACAUUCAUGGAGAAUCUAACAUCCCAACUACGCAUAUCUGUUUGUUCCAGAAGCCAAGAAAUUGAGGUACGCAGAAGAUGAACAAACCUGAGAACUGAUGAUCGAAUGAAGAGUCGGAGCUCGAGCAUCACAUAGCCGUCAGCUAUGGUGGCUUGUGGGCGGAUGUUUCUCAGACCUAAGUUGUUGUCGCUGGACCGUGGUUACAUUCAUCCUAGCUUGGAGGCAACGGUGUGGGUGGGUAUGCAUGUGCAGGGCGAAGAAGUGGACGAAGGCCGAAGAAGCAAUCUCUGCCUCCCUAUCGCUGCGUCCUGCUCCUCAAUAUGUCACCUUAGUCAUGGCCGCCUUAUCCCUCAUGCUGCUGAUUUGAAUCUGCCCUACUCUUCUUCUCCUAGACUGCUCGAGCGCUUCAGCGGGUGCCUUGCCGACGACAGGGAAGGAAGGACCAGAGUAAGUAUAAUAUGGAAGUUCCUGUUCAAAUUAGUAGAAUAUGCUUACCAGGUGUUAGAAUUUAUAGAUAUA
rnacentral:lncRNA from 1 species